UAUGACAGAAUGUAAUGAAAGUGUUUAUAUUAUCUCACUCCUUAUAAAAUUGAUAUCUCGUCACAGAUUUCAAAAAAAUAUUCAUUUCAAAUCCCUACGUUCAUAAUAGUAUAUUCUAUCACCAUGUUGUGGUCCGGGAUUUUAUUUAUCUUUAUGAAGAUGGCAGUAUGUGUGGUCACUUCCAUUUUAUCGUUAUAGGAAGAAUGACCUGUUUAUGCCAAUUGCAGGAUGUUAAACCAAAAUUUUACCAGAGAUGCAAAACUUUUGGGAUUUAGAUAUAAGUAAUUUUAUUGAAUCACAUGUCUUUUCACUUGAUUGUAGUUGGUCUUCAGUUUAUAAACAUAUAAUGUCAUUAUAUGUGUAAAAUUAGGUCUAAAGAAUUUUUUCGAUGCAUUUGGAUAACAUCAUCAGGGAUUAUCGAAUAAGAGAAAAGAUGUCAAUUAUAAAUACAAGUAAUGAGAAUUCAUCCAUCUUUUGAGACAUAACAACUAGCUUUUUUAUAUACCCUUGUUCCUCUACUUAAAUAAAGUUAUGACUUCACACCAGUAAAA